rnacentral:rRNA from 1 species
GACGUAGGGCGCAAGCGUUGUCCGGAUUUAUUGGGCGUAAAGAGCUCGUAGGCGGCUUGUCGCGUCGACUGUGAAAACCCGCAGCUUAACUGCGGGACUGCAGUCGAUACGGGCAGGCUAGAGUUCGGUAGGGGAGACUGGAAUUCCUGGUGUAGCGGUGAAAUGCGCAGAUAUCAGGAGGAACACCGGUGGCGAAGGCGGGUCUCUGGGCCGAUAUUGACGCUGAGGAGCGAAAGCGUGGGGAGCGAACAGG